GACUUGGUAGUCUAGUUGGUAAAGGCGGCACUUUGAGUAUAGUGUCUUGGCUUCUAGCUAAAGUUGCUGGGUUGAAUCCUGCCCAAGUUA
rnacentral:tRNA from 1 species